rnacentral:rRNA from 1 species
UACGGAGGGUGCGAGCGUUAAUCGGAAUUACUGGGCGUAAAGGGUGCGUAGGUGGUUUCUUAAGUUAUCUGUGAAAUUCCUGGGCUUAACCUGGGCAUGUCAGAUAAUACUGAAAGACUUGAGUAUAGGAGAGGGUAGUGGAAUUUCCGGUGUAGCGGUGAAAUGCGUAGAUAUACGGAGGAACACCAGCGGCGAAGGCGGGUAGCUGGGCCAACACUGACGCUGAUGCGCGAAAGCUAGGGUAGCAAACGGG